UACGUAGGGGGCGAGCGUUGUCCGGAAUUAUUGGGCGUAAAGAGCGUGUAGGCGGUUCGGUAAGUCUGCCGUGAAAACCCGCAGCUCAACUGUGGCUUGACAGCUGAUACGGGCAGGCUAGAGUUCGGUGAGGGGAGACUGGAAUUCCUGGUGUAGCGGUGAAAUGCGCAGAUAUCAGGAGGAACACCGGUGGCGAAGGCGGGUCCUCUGGGCCGAUACUGACGCUGAGGAGCGAAAGCGUGGGGAGCGAACAGG
rnacentral:rRNA from 1 species